ensembl:lncRNA
AACAAGGACUAAAUUAUUAUCAAAUCUUGGCAUUUUUUGUGGCAAAAGGGAAGAGUACUGACAUUUUUUUACCUGUGUUCAGGCAAGGAGCAGCUAGGAGGAGUCUAAAAAUAAGCUCAGAACUUUGCACCAAAUCCUCCCCCUUGCACUGGCAGAUGAAGCUGAACCAUGAACCUUCCCAGCCCGGACCCAGAGUGAAGAUUAAUUUAAGGGGCAUUCAUCCAUUUAGUGGAAAUGAGUCAUUCUCAUCAGCAGUAAUGGGAAUUACAGAAGGGCUCUGGUUUCACAAAGAACCUGCUUAAACCUAAGAAAGCUGCAGAUGGGCGUUGAUGAUCUGUAUGGGGUUUAACUUUCCCUCUGGACCCUCCUGGUGUUCAGGACUAGGACAAGUCAGACUUCGCCCUCUUCCAGAGCAUUGCUUUUGGCAAGAGACUUUGUCAACAAGAUCUCCAUGGAUCUCAAUUUACAGUGCUUGUGCAUCUUCUAAGCACAGACAACAGAUCCUUACAACAGGUCCAACAGAUCCUGACAACAGCCAGCUAAUCCUUCCAACCCAGUCAAAAAGAACAAGAGAAGUGGUGAGGAAGACGUGCAGG